rnacentral:rRNA from 1 species
UACAGAGGUGGCAAGCGUUGUUCGGAAUUACUGGGCGUAAAGGGCGCGUAGGCGGUCUUUUAAGUCUUGUGUGAAAUCCCUCGGCUCAACUGAGGAACUGCACGGGAUACUGGAAGACUUGAGUCCGGAAGAGGAGAGUGGAAUUCCUGGUGUAGCGGUGAAAUGCGCAGAUAUCAGGAAGAACACCUAUGGCGAAGGCAGCUCUCUGGGACGGUACUGACGCUGAGACGCGAAAGCGUGGGGAGCGAACAGG